rnacentral:misc_RNA from 1 species
UUGAAUGAACUUGGUGUGGUUGUUGCUGGCCCUUUUGGGGCAUGUGCACACCCACCAUCCUCAUCUCUCCACCUGUGCACCUCUUGUAGACUUGGGAUAAGACUUUCCGAGGCAACUCGGUCUGGAGGAAUGCUACCCCAAGCUUUCUUUGUAUUUAUUUCCAGGUCUAUGUUUUUCAUAUACCCAAUAGUAUGUAACAGAAUGUAUGAUUUAGGCGCUUGUGCCUAUAAACCUUAUA